CGCACAUCGAUACCUAUACAAUAUAUAUCCUAUUAUCUUAUAUUCAGUAUACUAGCUUUCAGUAAUUAGGUAAUUAAUCAUUUUAUUUUAUUAUAUCACUUGGAUACAAAUAUACAAUAUAUCGGUAUGAUUAUAUGUUUUUUAAGCUCAAAGUUGAAUUUCAGUACUUAUAGCUUAUAUACCUACCAAGAACAACUGCGGAAAAAGCCAAAAGAUACGAUUCCCCGUGUGGCAUGUAUAUAGUACAAAAGCAUUACGGGUAAGAUAUAUCGGUCAGCCAUUUUCUACGGUACUUCGAUCAGAUUGCCCUUUAUAUGCAGAUACCUACAGUAUGUCACUAUAUAUUAUUCGAUGAAUAUACUAAAAUUUUUAAAGUGAGAUUCAGCUGACAACGCCGUAAAACUCCAAAGAGGACUGAGAAAACUCAUCUGUAAUUGUAAUUGCGCAUCACACAAUUUGUUGAUGCGGCGUGUGAAUAAAAAUAACAUUAUAUACA